rnacentral:tRNA from 1 species
UUAAUUGAAGCCAAAAAAUAGAGGCAUUUUAUUGUUAAUAAAAAAAUUGAAUACAAAUUCCAAUUAAA